rnacentral:rRNA from 1 species
GACGAACGCUGGCGGCAUGCCUUACACAUGCAAGUCGAACGGCAGCACGGGUGCUUGCACCUGGUGGCGAGUGGCGAACGGGUGAGUAAUACAUCGGAACGUACCUUAUCGUGGGGGAUAACGCAGCGAAAGCUGUGCUAAUACCGCAUACGCCCUGAGGGGGAAAGCGGGGGAUCGCAAGACCUCGCGCGAUUAGAGCGGCCGAUGCCUGAUUAGCUUGUUGGUGGGGUAAAAGCCCACCAAGGCGACGAUCAGUAGCUGGUCUGAGAGGACGAUCAGCCACACUGGGACUGAGACACGGCCCAGACUCCUACGGGAGGCAGCAGUGGGGAAUUUUGGACAAUGGGGGCAACCCUGAUCCAGCAAUGCCGCGUGAGUGAAGAAGGCCUUCGGGUUGUAAAGCUCUUUUGUCAGGGAAGAAACACCGGCUCUAACACAGUCCGGGAAUGACGGUACCUGAAGAAUAAGCACCGGCUAACUACGUGCCAGCAGCCGCCGUAA